GACAGAAGCACAGCAGCCCGGCUUUCCUUGAGUGGCAGGAGCCCGGCAGCCCGUGCGGGUGGUGCGGCGAGUGCACGGAGUACGGGAAUAAAGGUGCAGCUCACAGGAGUGAGAGGAGGCGGCCCCUCAUCUCUCCCACCUCUUCACGCUGCUCAGCGAGAGAAAGGGAGGAGUGUAAAUGAGUGCACUCCAAAAAGCCAUCACCUGCUCCCUCCACCCUAAAAUCCCCACUAGCUUUACCAGACAGAGAUAUUCUACAACCCCAGCUCAAAUUUCUCCAACUCUGAUUAAUGAGAGAGACGGACAGACAGAAAGAGGGAGGGAAAGAGUGGAGCAGUUAAAUAUUUCAACAAUUACCAUGCUGUGAUUUUGUUUUUUCAUCUGUUUUGUGGUGUUGAGUAUGGACACAUUCAUCUGGAGCAAAAUGUACAUUUGUCAUGCCUAUAGAGGAAACUGAAUUGGACUGGAUGAGGCAUUGAGUUUGUGCGCACAGAGAGCCCAAGGGUGAGGUUGUGUAUUGAUGGGUGCCCCUCCCAGCUUCUCCCAGAUUCCCCCUCUAUUGUGACUUUGAGUGAAUGUAUCCUCUUGCUAAGGGCACUGGAAUGUGUCUUCUCAACUCAUGUGAUGGAUGGGGCCUUGUUUUGCACUCCUCCGCCCCUCCCUCCGAAUCCCUCUUUCUCUCUCUCAGCCUUUGACUCUUUCAUUGCAUCCUUUUAUUCAGCACCAAUAAAAGUCAGUGAUUCUUCAUCA